GCUUGGCCCCAGCAAUUUCUCCCAUGUAUAAAUAUAUUUCUAGGGUUAUCGUUCACUUUAUCCUCAUUUCGCUUAUGAAAGCCAAUGUACGAACACCCGAAAGAUCACCCAAGGACUGAAAAUUGGCAAUCAAAAGUCAAAACUAGUCAAUAAUGCUUAAGUCAAUUGUUCAUAUAUAAAGCAAAUAAGUGUAUAUGAAGUCCUCUUGAAGUAUUGAUAUAAUCAAGCCAUGACCAAUUUGUAGUUUUUAUCAGAUCUAAAGACACAUAGCAAUGUCAAAGCAGAAA
rnacentral:misc_RNA from 1 species